AGGGAAUAUUGGACAGUGGGGGCAACCCUGAUCCAGCCAUGCCGCGUGAGUGAAGAAGGCCCUCGGGUUGUAAAGCUCUUUUGUCCGGAAAGAAAAGCUUCGGGUUAAUACCCCGGGGUUCUGACGGUACCGGAAGAAUAAGCACCGGCUAACUUCGUGCCAGCAGCCGCGGUAAUACGAAGGGUGCAAGCGUUACUCGGAAUUACUGGGCGUAAAGCGUGCGUAGGUGGUUGUUUAAGUCUGAUGUGAAAGCCCUGGGCUCAACCUGGGAAUGGCAUUGGAAACUGGGCAGCUAGAGUGCGGUAGAGGGGAGUGGAAUUCCCGGUGUAGCAGUGAAAUGCGUAGAGAUCGGGAGGAACAUCUGUGGCGAAGGCGACUGCCUGGACCAGCACUGACACUGAGGCACGAAAGCGUGGGGAGCAAACA
rnacentral:rRNA from 1 species